rnacentral:sRNA from 1 species
GUGUCGAUUUACGGUAAACAAGGCGCGUUGGCGGGAUUUCGGAGCGUCGUUGCG